rnacentral:rRNA from 1 species
GACGAACGCUGGCGGCGUGCCUAAUACAUGCAAGUUGAGCGCUGACGGAUGGUACUUGUACUAACUGGAUGAGCAGCGAACGGGUGAGUAACGCGUGGGGCAUAUGCCUUUGAGUGGGGGACAAUAUUUGGAAACGAAUGCUAAUACCGCAUAAAACCUCUAAACACUAGUUUUAAGUUUGAAAGAUGCAAUUGCAUCACUCAAAGAUGAUCCCGCGUUGUAUUAGCUAGUUGGUGAGGUAAAGGCUCACCAAGGCGAUGAUACAUAGCCGACCUGAGAGGGUGGUCAGCCACAUUUGGACUGGGACACGGCCCAAGCUCCUACGGGGAGCAACAGUAGGGAAACAUCGGCCAUGGACGGAAGUCUGGCCGAACAACGCCGCGGGAGGGAAGAAGGGUUUCGGAGCGGAAAACUCUUUUUGUAGGGAAAAACGAUGGGGAGGGUGGAAAGCUCAUCAAAUGACGGUAACUACCCAGAAAGGGACGGCUAACUACGUG